rnacentral:rRNA from 1 species
AGAGUUUGAUCAUGGCUCAGGAUGAACGCUGGCGGCGUGCCUAAUACAUGCAAGUCGAGCGAACAGAUAAGGAGCUUGCUCCUUUGACGUUAGCGGCGGACGGGUGAGUAACACGUGGAUAACCUACCUAUAAGACUGGGAUAACUUCGGGAAACCGGAGCUAAUACCGGAUAACAUAUUGAACCGCAUGGUUCAAUAGUGAAAGGCGGCUUUGCUGUCACUUAUAGAUGGAUCCGCGCCGUAUUAGCUAGUUGGUAAGGUAACGGCUUACCAAGGCAACGAUACGUAGCCGACCUGAGAGGGUGAUCGGCCACACUGGAACUGAGACACGGUCCAGACUCCUACGGGAGGCAGCAGUAGGGAAUCUUCCGCAAUGGGCGAAAGCCUGACGGAGCAACGCCGCGUGAGUGAUGAAGGUCUUCGGAUCGUAAAACUCUGUUAUCAGGGAAGAACAAAUGUGUAAGUAACUGUGCACAUCUUGACGGUACCUGAUCAGAAAGCCACGGCUAACUACGUGCCAGCAGCCGCGGUAAUAC